rnacentral:rRNA from 1 species
GGGCCCGCACAAGCGGUGGAGCAUGUGGUUUAAUUCGAUGAUACGCGAGGAACCUUACCAGGGCUUAAAUGCAGAGCGACAGAGGUGGAAACACCUCCUUCUUCGGACGGUCUGCAAGGUGCUGCAUGGUUGUCGUCAGCUCGUGCUGUGAAGUGUCGGGUUAAGUCCCAUAACGAGCGCAACCCCUAUUUCUAGUUGCCAGCGGUUCGGCCGGGGACUCUAGAGAAACUGCCAGCGUAAGCUGUGAGGAAGGUGGGGAUGACGUCAAAUCAUCACGGCCCUUACGUCCUGGGCUACACACGUGCUACAAUGGUGAGGACAGAGAGUUGCCAACCCGCGAGGGUGAGCUAAAUCUUCAAACCUCAUCUCAGUUCGGAUUGAGGUCUGCAACUCGACCUCAUG